GGUUGAUUAGAGAAAAAUCACCAGCAAAGAAUGAAUUGAUGACAGACAAGUAGGAAGUGGAGGAGCCGCCCUAGUUGAGCAGUGGGGUGAAGCCCAAUGAUUUGGUGUAGCACAAGGACGGCACUUGCACGCUUAUGUAGUCCAUAAAAGAAUCACGGUUUCAAAUAGGGCCUAACCAUUGGGCUGAAAAUAAAGCCUUGAACAUGUUCAGAAUCAGACAACAAAUGAAAGACUUGUACUCGAUGCCGAUGUCCAUGCAUCACCAACAUACUGACAGACAGUUAACAAUUCAAGGAAGGCAAGAAGGGCCACUACUGGAAUGCACUGAAAACUUAGGCACCAGAACUGAGGCUGCUUGUCUGAAACAGAGCAUGAGAUCUAUUGGCUCCGCCCGCUCCGCAUUGCCUCGGUUGUGUUUGAUAGAAGACCUUGGACACGACGAGCUCCCCUUCCUUCUCUUCCUCCUCGGAGCCCAAGUGGUACUGG